UGGGGAUUCUUGCGCAAUGGGCGAAAGCCUGCCNCAGCCAUGCCGCGUGGAUGAAGAAGGUCUUCCGGAUUGUAAAGCACUUUCGACGGGGACGAUAAUGACGGUACCGAUAGAAGAAGCCCCGGCUAACUUCGUGCCAGCAGCCGCGGUAAUACGAGGGGGGCAAGCGUUGUUCGGAAUUAUUGGGCGUAAAGGGUGCGUAGGCGGUUUGAUAAGUUCUGUGUGAAAUCUAUGGGCUCAACCCAUAGUCUGCACGGAAAACUGUCAGGCUUGAGAAUGGGAGAGGUGAGUGGAAUUUCCGGUGUAGCGGUGAAAUGCGUAGAUAUCGGAAGGAACACCUGUGGCGAAAGCGGCUCACUGGACCAUUUCUGACGCUGAUGCACGAAAGCUAGGGGAGCAAACAGGAUUAGAUACCCUGGUAGUCCUAGCCCUAAACGAUGAUUGCUUGAUGUGGUGGGUACCCAAUCCCGCCGUGUCGAAGCUAACGCGAUAAGCAAUCCGCCUGGGGAGUACGGUCGCAAGGCUG
rnacentral:rRNA from 1 species